CUGUUUUCACUUUUAUUUUUACAGAGAAUAUGUAGGUGCCAAUACAUUUUGUAGAUACGAGGCAAAUUUAACUUGGUAAAAUGAUAUCAACUGUGGUACCUUUCCCUAUAGCGCAAUUAGCUAAGACGUUGUCAAGCGGGUGGUCACGUGUUUGCGAGGCAGCAGAUCCAAGACUGAGUACUGGUAAGGACUUGUGAAGAAAGCGAAACUGUGAACCUAUAUUUAUCAUGCCCCUAGUAAAUUACAUUUCAACAUAUCAUUGCUCUGAACAUUCUUUUAAAAAAAGGACAGGUGUACAGCACAGGACUUUAUUUAACAGUGGGAUACAAAAAAUAUUACAGCUUCGGAGAGGGAUGUGAUAUGAUUCACAAGGGGACAAGAAGAGGGGUCAGAAACAGGAAGCUGCCGUAUCGGCCGCCCUGGACCCUACGUGUAGGAAUUCCCAGAGGAGCGUCAGGAGUCUGUGGUGAGCAGAGGCAGCUGUAGAGGAUGGGGGGCUGGCACACAUGCACGUCAUUGCAACCUAAAUUAGGCUACAUGUCUGCAGCCGGUGUGCCACAGCCCACGCCUACACAAAAAUGUGUAGGCGUUUACCUAUGGAGAGGAACAGAGAAGACGAAACAAUGUAGUUAUGUUCUACACUACCACAGUCGCAGUAAUAUAUUACCAGCUACAAUAGUUAUUUACAACAUUAACAAUGUACACUGUAUUUCUGAUCAAUUUGAUGCCAUUUUAAAAUGGACAAAACAAAUGUGCUUUUCUCUCAAAAACCAAAAGAACAUUUGUAAGUGACCCCAAACUUUUAAAUCGGAAGUGACUAUGAAUAGAUAAUAAACAGAGAGUAGCAGCAGUGUAAAAGAGGGGUCUGGGUUGCCCUUUGAUUAGCGGUUCAGGAGUCUUAUGGCUUAAAAAGAUAUUCUCUUGAAAAAUAGAAAAGCGGCGAUAGUACAGUUUGUCGAUUUUGAGACGCUUCCUGAAAAUAGUCAGAAUUCAUCUAAGAUGCAUUAUAAACUCAGGACCCUGUCUUUCAAAG
ensembl:lncRNA